rnacentral:rRNA from 1 species
AGAGCGAACGCUGGCGGCAGGCUUAACACAUGCAAGUCGAGCGGGCGUAGCAAUACGUCAGCGGCAGACGGGUGAGUAACGCGUGGGAACGUACCUUUUGGUUCGGAACAACACAGGGAAACUUGUGCUAAUACCGGAUAAGCCCUUACGGGGAAAGAUUUAUCGCCAAAAGAUCGGCCCGCGUCUGAUUAGCUAGUUGGUGAGGUAACGGCUCACCAAGGCGACGAUCAGUAGCUGGUCUGAGGGGAUGAUCAGCCACAUUGGGACUGAGACACGGCCCAAACUCCUACGGGAGGCAGCAGUGGGGAAUAUUGGACAAUGGGCGCAAGCCUGAUCCAGCCAUGCCGCGUGAGUGAUGAAGGCCCUAGGGUUGUAAAGCUCUUUUGUGCGGGAAGAUAAUGACGGUACCGCAAGAAUAAGCCCCGGCUAACUUCGUGCCAGCAGCCGC